GACGAACGCUGGCGGCGUGCUUAACACAUGCAAGUCGAACGGAAAGGCCCUUCGGGGUACUCGAGUGGCGAACGGGUGAGUAACACGUGGGUGAUCUGCCCUGCAUUUUGGGAUAAGCCUGGGAAACUGGGUCUAAUACCGAAUAUGACCGCGCUCUUCAUGGGGUGUGGUGGAAAGCUUUUGCGGUGUGGGAUGGGCCCGCGGCCUAUCAGCUUGUUGGUGGGGUAAUGGCCUACCAAGGCGACGACGGGUAGCCGGCCUGAGAGGGUGACCGGCCACACUGGGACUGAGAUACGGCCCAGACUCCUACGGGAGGCAGCAGUGGGGAAUAUUGCACAAUGGGCGCAAGCCUGAUGCAGCGACGCCGCGUGAGGGAUGACGGCCUUCGGGUUGUAAACCUCUUUCAAUAGGGACGAAGCGCAAGUGACGGUACCUAUAGAAGAAGGACCGGCCAACUACGUGCCAGCCGCCGCGGUAA
rnacentral:rRNA from 1 species